rnacentral:rRNA from 1 species
UACGUAGGCGGAAAAUUUAGUCAGCGGUGAAAUCCCGCAGCUUAACUGUGGAACUGUCAUUGAUACUGGUUUUCUUGAAUUUAGUUGAGGUAGGCGGAAUGUGUAAUGUAGCGGUGAAAUGCUUAGAUAUUACACAGAACACCGAUUGCGAAGGCAGCUUACUAAGCUAUGAUUGACGCUGAGGUACGAAAGCGUGGGGAGCGAACAGGAUUAGAUACCCUGGUAGUCC